GAUGAACGCUGGCGGCGUGCUUAACACAUGCAAGUCGAACGAAGCACUUUAUUUGAUUUCCUUCGGGACUGAUUAUUUUGUGACUGAGUGGCGGACGGGUGAGUAACGCGUGGGUAACCUGCCUUGUACAGGGGGAUAACAGUUGGAAACGGCUGCUAAUCCUGCAUACGCGCACAGCAUCGCAUGAUGCAGUGUGAAAAACUCCGGUGGUAUAAGAUGGACGCGCGUUGGAUUAGCUAGUUGGUGAGGUAACGGCCCACCAAGGCGACGAUACAUAGCCGAGCUGAGAGGGUGACCGGCCACAUUGAGACUGAGACACGGCCCAAACUCCUACGGGAGGCAGCAGUGGGGAAUAUUGCACAAUGGGCGAAAGCCUGAUGCAGCGACGCCGCUUGAGCGAAGAAGUAUUUCAGUAUGUAAAGCUCGAGCAGCAGGGAAGAUAAUGACGGUACCUGACUAAGAAGCACCGGCUAAAUACGUG
rnacentral:rRNA from 1 species